UUUCCUACGGGAGGCAGCAGUGGGGAAUAUUGCACAAUGGGGGAAACCCUGAUGCAGCGACGCCGCGUGAGUGAAGAAGUAUUUCGGUAUGUAAAGCUCUAUCAGCAGGGAAGAUAAUGACGGUACCUGACUAAGAAGCUCCGGCUAAAUACGUGCCAGCAGCCGCGGUAAUACGUAGGGAGCAAGCGUUAUCCGGAUUUACUGGGUGUAAAGGGAGCGCAGACGGCAAGGCAAGUCUGGUGUGAAAGUCGGGGGCUCAACCUCGGGACUGCAUUGGAAAAUGUCUGGCUGGAGUGCAGGAGAGG
rnacentral:rRNA from 1 species